rnacentral:rRNA from 1 species
GUAAUAACUGAAUCUGAUCUGAACUUGGUUUCAUUAAUAUAAUGGAACCGGGGAAAAGAUUCCCUGUUCUUCAAAAAAUAUCUGUUGCCACUACAAAUUCCAAUUCCCGCACGUCCGAGGUGAGGAAGAAGAGAAGAGGAGAUAGGGGCGUCUCCAAUUUCCUGCCACUGUUUUGCAAGUGGAUAUAAGGCUAUGGCCCCUUGCUCCAGGCCCGCUGUCCACGGCAGCCAGGGGCUCUCCCAUCGGUGGUGGCUGCCCAUCAGUCAGACCUCCUAUUUCUCGCCGGCGGGUGAGCUGAUUUGGGGGCUGCUGCUUGACUGGCAAUUGCACAGUUUGCCAGACUUUGGGGUGAUGUCGCGAGAGUGCGGUUGCGGCAUGAUACGGCUGACUCAAUGACUUGGAGGUGGACGACCAACGGCAUGUUCUCUUCUACUACCGCCUAUGCUGCGCAAUUCGAGGGGGGCACUCGCUUCAACGGACAACAACUGCUUUGGUUAGCUGACGCGUCGCUCAAGUGGUGUAUCUUUGCGUGGCUUACGAUUCUGGGUAAAUGCCUGAUGGCAAAAAACUUAAGAAGGGAUGGCCUCGCGAUCCGGUUUGUUGCCUGUGCCGCACGGCGGACGAGGACUCUCCUUCACAUGUUGGCUCGCUGCCCCUUUGUCCAAUCUCUUUGGGGCCUCAUGUUACGCAGCUGCAACCUACUUGCAACCUUGGGGCCAACGUCCGCGACAUCAUGCCUUGUUGAUUGGUGGGCCAACACCAUCAAUGUUGCGUCCAACAAGAUGGGAUGGAACGACAUCGUGGUGGUCUGGUGAUUCACCUAGAAAGAAAGAAAUGCAAGAAUUUUCAGGCACGUGAUAUGAUAUCCCCUAUCAAUAAUGGAUUCAACUCAAUGCAUGAUGAAGUAUUGAUUUGGUCCCAGGCGAGUCGCCGCAAGAUCAUGUCCCCACCAGAGCGACCACUAGAGUCGGAAUGAUCACCUCACAUCUGCUGAUGUUGUUUGCAGCGCAAUAAUUGUUGUUGUUGUUUCUAUACUCUACUCCCUCUGUCCCAGAAUGUAAGACGUCUGUCUUACAUAAUGAAACAAAGGGAGUAGUUUUAUGUAGAACUCCUCUCAUUGAAAUGAAAAGCUGCGCCAUCGGUGUU